rnacentral:rRNA from 1 species
AAUCAACGCUGGCGGCGUGCCUAACACAUGCAAGUCGAGCGGGCGUAGCAAUACGUCAGCGGCAGACGGGUGAGUAACGCGUGGGAACAUACCUUUUGGUUCGGAACAACACAGGGAAACUUGUGCUAAUACCGGAUAAGCCCUUACGGGGAAAGAUUUAUCGCCGAAAGAUUGGCCCGCGUCUGAUUAGCUAGUUGGUGAGGUAAUGGCUCACCAAGGCGACGAUCAGAGCUGGUCUGAGAGGAUGAUCAGCCACAUUGGGACUGAGACACGGCCCAAACUCCUACGGGAGGCAGCAGUGGGGAAUAUUGGACAAUGGGCGCAAGCCUGAUCCAGCCAUGCCGCGUGAGUGAUGAAGGCCCUAGGGUUGUAAAGCUCUUUUGUGCGGGAAGAUAAUGACGGUACCGCAAGAUAAGCCCCGCUAACUCGUGCCAGCAGCCGCUGUAAU